GGAGCUCAGUGGUAUGGCAUCUGCCUUGCAUGCAGAAGGUCCCAGGUUCAAUCGCUGGCAUCUCCA